UUUCAAUCCAGGUUAAUGGUGCUUUAUUCUGGAUUCUUGGGUUUUUGAUUUCUGUUUCUUUUUAUUUUUUAUUCUGCACUGAUUCUUUCUCAUGAUGGCUUGAUGUUUGCUCUGGUCCUUUUUUUUUGCUUCUUUCGUUGUUCUGUGGCAUUUUCUCUAUCUUUACUUAUUUUUAUGAUAAGUUUGUUUGUUUUCUUUGAUCAUUGGUUAGGUUUUGUGUAUUGCGUGCAUUCAAUGAUUGUUUUUGCCUUGGUUAUAGUUGUUUGAAAUGAUCCAUUGAUUUUGUUUGUUCUUCCUGUUCUGAGCUUUGGUGUUUUUUGGAGGUCUGCUGGCCUGUGCUGAGUGUUUGGUUGUGGUGUGUAUUUCAUUUGAAUUUACUUCUUUGUGAUUGUUAUUUCUGAUUUUGAUUUUGUUUUGAUGUUUAGACUAAACUUUGUGCGGCUUAUGUUAUAUGAUCUUUUUUGCUUGUUUAGGAUCUUCGGUUUUUUUCUAUCGCUAGGCUUGCUGGGGGUCCUUUGAACUGUUGGGUUAUUCGUUUACGGCGUUCUUUUAAGAUUUUUUAGUGACUUCUUUCUCUUUGCUGGUGAUUUUCAGUCCUUCGUAAGUUUUCAUGUUCUGCUUUGGAAUUACCUGUUACGAACUAGGAACAUGAUGAAGGCUGGAAAGAGAGCAACAAGAAACAACAACAGCAUUGAAAGAAUAUAGUUAGUAGUUAAUUAGUUAGAAAAGCAGUUGAGUGAGUCAAGGAAGUAGUUAUAGUCAAACAGGCUUGAAUAUAAUUAUAGUUAGUGUAAGAAUAAAAGCUUGUAUAUAACUGGUGUAUGGAAACGUGUUGGAGAGAAGAAAAUACAGAACAUUAUUCUCAAUCUCUGCUCUUCCCUCUAUUCUCCUUUCUCUUCUCAAUUCUCUGCUCCUUCUCCUCUGCUCUCUCUUCUUUCUGUUCUUUCUCAAUUUCUAUUCUCUUUUCUUUCUAUUCUUUCUCAAUCUUGUUAAGCUCAGCUUAACAUUACCCUUGGGGGACUUACAACGACUUCAAACUGUUUAUCGUUUCCAGUUUCGGUUGUUUUAUGCCGAUCCAGGUUAUGGUGGUUCUGGUGGUUUAACUUAUUAGGUUUUUCUUUCUUCUUCGUCUGUUGAACGGGAAUCCCCGGUUCUGUUUCUCUUUGCUGUUUUUCUCUUUGUUUACUGUGUUGUUCUCGAUUGGCUUUUCACAAAUGAUUCUUGGGGGUUGCAGGUUCCUUCUUGCCUUGUUGGUUUCUGCCCUGUUGUGUUUUGAUAACUGUUAUGCUGUGUUUCCUGCCGUUUAUUCUUAUGUUGCAGCAGCCACUCUUUUUGAGGGCUUCCUGGCUCUUUUUGCAAUUACCUUGAUCGUUUUCUUUACACUCUUGCUCAAUUGUUUCUCCCAUUAAUUUCUCUCUUUUUUUUUUUUAAUGGAGUCCUACGUUCCAGCUAUAGUUGUUUGGUUGUGCUGCUGGUUUUCUUUGCUCCUUUUUUUUUUCCUGGGUCUUUUGCUCUUCGUGCUUAGCCUGCUUCCAUUUGGUGCUGUUUCUCUUUUGGUUUUAAAACAAUGCUCCCUUUCAUCGGGUGCAAGCUAGACUGCUGUCCGAAACUGGGCAUAGAGGAACAUGGAUUCCAAUCUCUACUAGGUUUGCUGGGACUUGGGGUAUAUGGACUGUUGAUUAUAUGUUUAAACAUGCAUUUCUUCAGGCUGAACUGUUGCGUUUUUCUGUUGUCGAAGGCUUCACACCGCUGUACUUUGAUGAGGAAACAACUUCCUCGGAGAAACAUCCCGUGGAUUCCCAUGAGGACAAUCGUACAAACUGCCAUCCACUAACAAGGAGGCGUCUGCUAUUCGACAACGAAAUUCCACUGCACAGCGGCCCAGCACUGCAGGACAACGUCCCAGUUCAGCUCAAAGAAACAGAUGCGCAGGUUCGCUUUCCAGCUUCCAUGAAUCGGAGCAGCUAACCAAGAAACAACAAACCUCAUUGUCAACCCCCGCAGAGGUACCUCCUCGCAUUUAACUCCAUUUGUCGCUUUUUUCACUUUCUCAUUCAUCGUUCCCCUGUUUCUACCACACAAACUGCUUAAGAGCCUCGACAUGUUUUUUCUUAUUGAUGUCUAACUUCGAACAAUGGCUCCCAAACUCUCCUAACUUCGCUUUCAUCGAUUACCGCUGGGUUUAUGACUUUGCAGCAGGUUUAUAAAAACCCACUGAUUAAUUUGGGUAACCAACAAAACAAUGGGUGUUGAUAGAAGAUCGACUAGAAGCUCAUCUUCAAUAUUCGUCACUGAUGAUGACGGUGGUAAAUUAUUCGGACGGGAGUAACCCUACCGUGAUUCAUAAACACCAAACUUGCAUGUGAAGAUUUUGGCUUUUCAUUCCCAAAAGACC